rnacentral:rRNA from 1 species
UACGUAGGGUCCGAGCGUUGUCCGGAAUUAUUGGGCGUAAAGAGCUCGUAGGCGGUUUGUCGCGUCUGCUGUGAAAUCCCGAGGCUCAACCUCGGGUCUGCAGUGGGUACGGGCAGACUGGAGUGCGGUAGGGGGAGAAUGGAAUUCCCGGUGUAGCGGUGAAAUGCGCAGAUAUCGGGAGGAACACCGGUGGCGAAGGCGGUUCUCUGGGCCUUACCUGACGCUGAGGAGCGAAAGCGUGGGGAGCGAACAGG